AACUGGGCGUAAAGCGUGCGCAGGCGGUUGUGUAAGACAGAUGUGAAAUCCCCGGGCUCAACCUGGGAACUGCGUUUGUGACUGCACAACUAGAGUACGGCAGAGGGAGGUGGAAUUCCGCGUGUAGCAGUGAAAUGCGUAGAGAUGCGAGGACACCGAUGGCGAAGGCAGCCUCCUGGGCCAGUACUGACGCUCAUGCACGAAAGCGUGGGGAGCAAACAGGAUUAGAUACCCUGGUAGUCCACGCCCUAAACGAUGUCAACUAGUUGUUCGGUGAGGAGACUCAUUGAGUAACGCAGCUAACGCGUGAAGUUGACCGCCUGGGGAGUACGGCCGCAAGGUUAAAAACUCAAAAGGAAUUGACGGGGACCCGCACAAGCGGUGGAUGAUGUGGAUUAAUUCGAUGCAACGCGAAAAACCUUACCUACCCUUGACAUGCCAGGAACUUGCCAGAGAUGGCUUGGUGCCCGAAAGGGAGCCUGGACACAGGUGCUGCAUGGCUGUCGUCA
rnacentral:rRNA from 1 species